AAAGCUCAAAUUUAAAAUCUGGCAGCCUUUGGUUGUCCGAGUUGUAAAUUAGAGAAGCGCUACCCGCGUUGGCCUGUGCAAAAGUCUCUUGGAAAAGAGCAUCAUAGAGGGUGACAAUCCCGUCUUUGGCACAGACUACCAGGGCAUUGUGGUACGCUCUCAAUGAGUCGAGUUGUUUGGGAAUGCAGCUCUAAAUGGGUGGUAAAUUCCAUCUAAAGCUAAAUAUUGGCGAGAAACCGAUAGCGAA
rnacentral:rRNA from 1 species